AACUCAGCUACAAAGUAAAGGUCUGAAAAAGUUACAGAAUGCAGCAACUUCCCGCUACAGCGCCCCAGAUGGUCUCUGCAGGUGCUUUUCCAAGAGAACCCUGGAAAGCACACAGAAGCGUCCUGUCCAGUGACCCCGUGGAAGCUUUGUGAAGGAGACAUGCAGGGCCACCCUGCCACUUCCAGCGGUUCCUGAAAGUAAGCUGGUGUGAGUAGAGACCCAGGCCUCAGAAGAAACCCAGACUCUGAGGCUAGAGUUGUGUGGGAGCUGCAGCCAGUACUACAGCAGAACCAACCUCACCUCCAGAUAAGAAGUGAGAGCACCUUCCGGUGAUGCCAGCCCAUCCCCAGAGUCACCACCGGCCUCCAAGUCUCUCUGUGGAGUUCCCAACCCAUGAGGCAUUGCUCUACUAUGCACCUGUCCAGUCUUCUUGAACCACAAAAGCUUUCAAAUAACAAAAUAGUUUGUAAUU